CAUAAACAUCCCAGGCAUGGAGUGUUUGGGUGCUUGGGCAGGUCUCAGCAGUCAUGCUUAAAGCCUCCUGCGGAAAGGAGGAGAGUAGAGACAGCCACACUCUGCAGUCACUCACGCACUCACCAGCCCAUUCAAAUCCCUCUGGCAAACAAUCCCUCAGCAACUGAAGUCACAGACUCUGAUGUCUGGAAUGUGGCUAGAAAAACUGAUCAAACCGGAAUUUGAGAAACUAGGACCUGAGACAUCAGACAAGACCCCCCGAGUUUAAAGAGAAUCUAAAAAUAAUCCUCCCUGUGCAAGGCUGAUGGGAUGUUUAUCUUGUUUUUAUUCCCAGGAGCUCCACUUUACACUGCCAGAGACUGCUACGAAAUGUGAAAAGUCCCCCCACUGCUGACUGAGAUCAACAUAACUCCUACAGGUGUCCACUGUUACCCUCUGCUGGAUGCUGCUCUUCAACCAGUCACGAGGGUCUGAUGAGGUUCAGCAGUAAGAUAAUGAAUCCCUUGAUGUCACCUUUUAGAAAGCAUGAUGAAAACUGACGAAUAUACUGAUUGACAGUGUUUCCCAUGUUUCUAAGAUCCUGAUAGUAUGGAAGGACCUGACAAUAAAGAGACUCAGGAUAAUUGCUCUGUAUUUGCCAUGUUCUGUGAGAAGAUGAGAAAAGCAAACCUAAAAUGUUUCUCCCAAGACAGAAAGCUCAUUGGCCUGGCAGGAAAUCAGGUGAUGUCAUGGGUUAACAAACAUAGUCCCAGGAGUGAUGUUCUUGCAAAGGGGUGCUUACAGCUUCCCCUGUGACCUGACAGAACCUAUCAGCUGGCCAGUUUGAAUA